UUUGUAUACGUAACAUGCCUCCAGUCCCAUCUCAAAAAUGAGAAAAAAGGAGGACACUAUAGGUUCAUCCUCCUUCAACCAUCAGCCCUGCCAGAUGGAGCAUGACACCUUUUUUUACUCUGCUCCAUUUUUAUUCUAAGAAGAUUUAUCUUGCAGUCAUCAUGGUGCUGAUGCAGAGUUGAAUGUAUGCUGUGGAUCUUGUUGCAGAACUGAGCAUCGGCAGGCACAGGCAAUACAGAGCUGUGUGCUUUUUGAGUGCAUCUACACUUGUGACACUCGGGGACCCUAAAUUACAAAGCCUUUUAAUAAAUGAAGAUUAGGAAUGUGUGAUGAGUUGCAGCCAGGAAAAGAGGAACUCACAAAUCUGGAAAGAGCCUUUGAAAAGUACUGAUUGUCACGAUCCGGGUAUCUGGACGCCAUUUCUUACCCAUCAGAUGUCUCCUAAGGCUGGCUCAGCGCUCCAGGACCGGAUCCCAUCUGUUAUCCUGAUGUGUACAUUCCUGUAUCCUCUCCUGUCACUCUGGGACGCUGUCACAGUAAACGCCAUAUUACACCUGGCAUGGCGUCUCCCGCGGCCUCCGCCGCCGUCCCUGAACUUCUGCAUGCAGAGUGUCUGAGUGGCGAUUACGUCAGCCGCGGCCUCCGCUGUGUCCGCGUGGUUGGAUGUGCAUCUGUCAGCCUGGCGCCUCCUGUCUCCGGUGGCCGGCGCCGCCAUUACAGUUUUCAUUACCACAUGGAUUACAAACCAAACUUUCCUCCAAGUGUCUGCAUGGGCGCAGCCAUCUUGGAUUCUGUCAGCUGAUCAUUUCCACCAAUCUGUUCUCAGUAUUGAUAAUCUGCAUAAUU